GAUGAACGCUAGCUACAGGCUUAACACAUGCAAGUCGAGGGGCAGCACAGAGAUAGCUUGCUAUCUUGGGUGGCGACCGGCGCACGGGUGAGUAACGCGUAUCCAACCUGCCCAUUACUCAGGGAUAGCCUUGCGAAAGUAAGAUUAAUACCUGAUGUUGUUUGAUUGCCGCAUGACGAUCAAACCAAAGAUUUAUUGGUAAUGGAUGGGGAUGCGUGACAUUAGGUAGUUGGUGAGGUAACGGCUCACCAAGCCCACGAUGUCUAGGGGUUCUGAGAGGAAGGUCCCCCACACUGGAACUGAGACACGGUCCAGACUCCUACGGGAGGCAGCAGUGAGGAAUAUUGGUCAAUGGACGAGAGUCUGAACCAGCCAAGUAGCGUGCAGGAUGACGGCCCUCUGGGUUGUAAACUGCUUUUAGUGGAAUAAAAAGAGGGACGUGUCCCUAAUUGUAUGUACCAUCAGAAAAAGGACCGGCUAAUUCCGUGCCAG
rnacentral:rRNA from 1 species